UUAAUUGAAGCCAAAAAGAGGCCUAUCACUGUUAAUGAUACCACUGAGACCCGUCUCCAAUUAAG
rnacentral:tRNA from 1 species